rnacentral:rRNA from 1 species
UACAGAGGUCUCAAGCGUUGUUCGGAUUCAUUGGGCGUAAAGGGUGCGUAGGCGGCGCGGUAAGUCGGGUGUGAAAUCUCGGAGCUUAACUCCGAAACUGCAUUCGAUACUGCCGUGCUUGAGGACUGGAGAGGAGACUGGAAUUUACGGUGUAGCGGUGAAAUGCGUAGAUAUCGUAAGGAAGACCAGUGGCGAAGGCGGGUCUCUGGACAGUUCCUGACGCUGAGGCACGGAAGGUCAGGGGAGCAAAACGGG